GAUGAACGCUGGCGGCGUGCCUAAUACAUGCGAGUCGAGCGAACAGACGAGGAGCUUGCUCCUUUGACGUUAGCGGCGGACGGGUGAGUAACACGUGGGUAACCUACCUAUAAGACUGGGAUAACUUCGGGAAACCGGAGCUAAUACCGGAUAAUAUUUCGAACCGCAUGGUUCGAUAGUGAAAGAUGGCUUUGCUAUCACUUAUAGAUGGACCUGCGCCGUAUUAGCUAGUUGGUAAGGUAACGGCUUACCAAGGCAACGAUACGUAGCCGACCUGAGAGGGUGAUCGGCCACACUGGAACUGAGACACGGUCCAGACUCCUACGGGAGGCAGCAGUAGGGAAUCUUCCGCAAUGGGCGAAAGCCUGACGGAGCAACGCCGCGUGAGUGAUGAAGGUCUUCUGAUCGUAAAACUCUGUUAUUAGGGAAGAACAAACGUGUAAGUAACUGUGCACGUCUUGACGGUACCUAAUUAGAAAGCCACGGCUAACUACGUG
rnacentral:rRNA from 1 species